rnacentral:rRNA from 1 species
ACGCGUGGAACCUUACCAGGUCUUGACAUCCCGCUGACCGUCCUGGAGACAGGAUUUUCCCUUCGGGGACAGCGGUGACAGGUGGUGCAUGGUUGUCGUCAGCUCGUGUCGUGAGAUGUUGGGUUAAGUCCCGCAACGAGCGCAACCCUUGAUCUUAGUUGCCAGCAUUUAGUUGGGCACUCUAAGGUGACUGCCGGUGACAAACCGGAGGAAGGUGGGGAUGACGUCAAAUCAUCAUGCCCCUUAUGACCUGGGCUACACACGUGCUACAAUGGAUGGUACAAAGGGCUGCAAGACCGCGAGGUUUAGCCAAUCCCAUAAAACCAUUCUCAGUUCGGAUUGCAGGCUGCAACUCGCCUGCAUGAAGCUGGAAUCGCUAGUAAUCGCGGAUCAGCAUGCCGCGGUGAAUACGUUCCCGGGCCUUGCACUCACCGCCCGU